GACGAACGCUGGCGGCGUGCCUAAUACAUGCAAGUCGAGCGGACGGAUGGGAGCUUGCUCCCAGACCGUCAGCGGCGGACGGGUGAGUAACACGUGGGCAACCUGCCUGUAAGACUGGGAUAACUCCGGGAAACCGGGGCUAAUACCGGAUAACUCUUUCCCUCACAUGAGGGAAAGCUGAAAGAUGGCAUCUCGCUAUCACUUACAGAUGGGCCCGCGGCGCAUUAGCUAGUUGGUGAGGUAACGGCUCACCAAGGCGACGAUGCGUAGCCGACCUGAGAGGGUGAUCGGCCACACUGGGACUGAGACACGGCCCAGACUCCUACGGGAGGCAGCAGUAGGGAAUCUUCCGCAAUGGACGAAAGUCUGACGGAGCAACGCCGCGGGAGUGAUGAAGGUUUUCGGAUCGUAAAACUCUGUUGUCAGGGAAGAACAAGUACCGGAGUAACUGCCGGUACCUUGACGGUACCUGACCAGAAAGCCACGGCUAACUACGUG
rnacentral:rRNA from 1 species